rnacentral:rRNA from 1 species
UACGUAGGGGGCUAGCGUUGUCCGGAUUUAUUGGGCGUAAAGAGCGUGUAGGCGGCCAGGUAGGUCUGGUGUGAAAACUCGAGGCUUAACCUCGAGAUGUCAUCGGAAACCAUCUGGCUAGAGUCCGGAAGAGGUGAGUGGAAUUCCUGGUGUAGCGGUGAAAUGCGCAGAUAUCAGGAAGAACACCAAUGGCGAAAGCAGCUCUCUGGGACGGUACUGACGCUGAGACGCGAAAGCGUGGGGAGCGAACAGG